AGUGAACGCUGGCGGCAGGCCUAACACAUGCAAGUCGAGCGGCAGCGCGUCCGACCACCCUCGGGUGGUCGGAUGGCGGCGAGCGGCGGACGGGUGAGGAAUGCAUCGGAAUCUGCCUCGUUGUGGGGGAUAACGUAGGGAAACUUACGCUAAUACCGCAUACGACCUACGGGUGAAAGUGGGGGACCUUCGGGCCUCACGCGAUGAGAUGAGCCGAUGCCGGAUUAGCUAGUUGGCGGGGUAAAGGCCCACCAAGGCGACGAUCCGUAGCUGGUCUGAGAGGAUGAUCAGCCACACUGGAACUGAGACACGGUCCAGACUCCUACGGGAGGCAGCAGUGGGGGAAUAUUGGACAAUGGGGGCAACCCUGAUCCAGCCAUGCCGCGUGUGUGAAGAAGGCCUCGGUUGUAAG
rnacentral:rRNA from 1 species